GCCCUUAUAGCGCAGUGGUAGCGCGUGUCACUCGUAAUGACAAGGUCCUCGGUUCGACUCCGAGUGGGGGCA
rfam:Thielaviopsis punctulata NODE_1546, whole genome shotgun sequence.